rnacentral:rRNA from 1 species
UACAGAGGGUGCAAGCGUUGUUCGGAAUUACUGGGCGUAAAGGGCUCGUAGGCGGCCAACUAAGUCGGAUGUGAAAUCCCCAGGCUUAACCUGGGAACUGCAUCCGAUACUGGAUGGCUUGAAUCCGGGAGAGGGAUGCAGAAUUCCAGGUGUAGCGGUGAAAUGCGUAGAUAUCUGGAGGAACACCGGUGGCGAAGGCGGCAUCCUGGACCGGCAUUGACGCUGAGGCGCGAAAGCUAGGGGAGCAAACGGG